UAGUAACUGCGAGUGAAGCGGGAAAAGCUCAAAUUUAAAAUCUGUCAGUCUUUGGCUGUCCGAGUUGUAAUCUAGAGAAGUGUUAUCCGCGCUGGACCGUGUACAAGUCUCCUGGAAUGGAGCGUCAUAGAGGGUGAGAAUCCCGUCUUUGACACGGACUGCCAGGGCUUUGUGAUGCGCUCUCAAAGAGUCGAGUUGUUUGGGAAUGCAGCUCAAAAUGGGUGGUAAAUUCCAUCUAAAGCUAAAUAUUGGCGAGAGACCGAUAGCGAACAAGUACCGUGAGGGAAAGAUGAAAAGAACUUUGGAAAGAGAGUUAAACAGUACGUGAAAUUGCUGAAAGGGAAACGCUUGAAGUCAGUCGCGUUGUCCAGGGAUCAACCUUGCUUUUGCUUGGUGUAUUUUCUGGUUGACGGGUCAGCAUCAAUUUUGACUGUUGGAAAAAGAUCAGGGGAAUGUGGCAUCUUCGGAUGUGUUAUAGCCCUUGGUUGCAUACAACGGCUGGGAUUGAGGAACUCAGCACGCCGCAAGGCCGGGUAAAUUUACCACGUACGUGCUUAGGAUGCUGGCAUAAUGGCUUUAAUCGACCCGUCUUGAAACACGGACCAAGGAGUCUAACAUGCCUGCGAGUGUUUGGGUGGAAAACCCGAGCGCGUAAUGAAAGUGAAAGUUGAGAUCCCUGUCGUGGGGAGCAUCGACGCCCAGACCAGACCUCUUGUGACGGUUCUGCGGUAGAGCAUGUAUGUUGGGACCCGAAAGAUGGUGAACUAUGCCUGAAUAGGGUGAAGCCAGAGGAAACUCUGGUGGAGGCUCGUAGCGAUUCUGACGUGCAAAUCGAUCGUCAAAUUUGGGUAUAGGGGCGAAAGACUAAUCGAACCAUCUAGUAGCUGGUUCCUGC
rnacentral:rRNA from 2 species